rnacentral:rRNA from 1 species
CCUACGGGAGGCAGCAGUGGGGAAUAUUGCACAAUGGGCGCAAGCCUGAUGCAGCGACGCCGCGUGGGGGAUGACGGCCUUCGGGUUGUAAACCUCUUUCACCAUCGACGAAGCUGCCUGUUAGGGGUGUGACGGUAGGUGGAGAAGAAGCACCGGCCAACUACGUGCCAGCAGCCGCGGUAAU